rnacentral:lncRNA from 1 species
CACAAUAUUCAUAACAGAUCUUUAAUACACAAAACAAACAUCAAAACAGUGGUCUACCACAAACAUACAGUAGUAUCAGCAGCGGCAUUUGGAUGGCCCUUAAAGCUCAAGUUAGCUUGCAAAACCUAACUAAAACAUACUAUAGUAGUUGCUUAAUACCCAACAGAAAUUCAUAUAAUACGAAAUAAAGAUAAAAGUCCAGUGAUCCAUGCUUCAUUAGCGAAGCAACUAGCAGGAAAAAACACUAUUUACAUAGGUUUCAACUUGUUGCCACCCAAAAACUCUCAGCACUUCUCGUGAUGCUUAGAUCUGGUGUUCCCAUUGUAGAGCCUGCCAUUAAAAAUAUAAGAGUUAAGUACUCCAAACUGACGGUGUAAAUUAAAAAAACUUAAAAAACUUCAGAUAUAUAUAUGUGUGAGAGAGAGAUCUGAGUCAUGUAACAUACCAGUCAUAAACAGUGGGAGCGUUAGGGUGAGAGGGCUUGUCAAAGACUUGAGCACCAAUUCUCUUGGUGGCAAUAUUGCUUCCUGGGUGAAAAACACUCCUCCAUACGUUUUCUUUACUUGCCGUCGGUGACGGAGUUGUUGGUGUCGCCGGAGUUCCUGGCGUCGGCGGACUGGCCGGCAUCGAGAGAGACCUCUGGUAUUUGCUAGAUCCUUCUCCAGAUUCCCCACCUGCUCCAUAUUCCAUAAACAAAACAUCACAUAAAGCAAGAAAACAACAAACGAAAACUUUAUAUAUCCAAAACAUAUUGCAUGGCAGCAUCUAUUUUAAUAUCCUUUAAAACAUAUCAAUAUGAAAAUUAAGAAUUUUAAUUAAGUCAGUGGAUCUGUGAUUCUGUUUGUAUAUGUACUUCUAGUUUUUCUUUAAUUAAAUAUUUAUGAGGAUCAAUUGGAAUUCAACGGAACUCACUGCCAGUAUAUAUAUUAUAGGUCCGCCUCUGGUUCAAACAGAGUUUUCAAUUUAACAAAAGGAUUUACAUAUAGGAGUAUAUGCUUUUGAGAAUUAUAUAUAUGAGUACCAGUUUGAACAGUGAGGCUUUUUCGGAGCUUGCCAAGGCCAUUAUCAGGUUGAGGUCCAGCCAUAACAUCAUCCCAUAAUUUAUCAAUCAACACCAUCUUCUCUCUGAUCUCUCUCUUACUU